UUUAUCCUCGUUUCAGGGCAGGUACAAAUUGUGCUUAAAACUACAUUUAUAUUGCAACGGGUAUUCCAAGUAACUGUUAAUAUAACGAGUGUUAUUUCUGCCUUAAUCCUUGGGAGUAUCUACUCUUAUUUGUAACAAUAGCGGAACAAGUUUCCUGCACGGAAGUUCAGCAGAGGCUCGCUCCAGGCGAUGUCAGCCUGUCUCUCUCUCCUCUCUCUGUCUCUCCCGGCAGGACUCGAUCCAGGCGAUGUCAGCCUGUCUCUCCCUGCAGGGCUCGCUCCAGGUGAAGUCAGCCUGUCUCUCCCUGCAGGGCUCGCUCCGGGCGAUGUCAGCCUGUCUCUCUCUCCUCUCACUGCAGUGGUGUUAGGAUGACAAAAGAAAGCAGACAUCUGCAACUGAUGGGGAAUUUAAACCACAUGUGGGAGUUGUCUCACAUCCCCGAUGCAUUUUAUAAGAAAACAACAACAAAAGAACAAAGCAGCCCGCCUGUUUCACGUCUCUGCAUUUCCACACGCACACCCAGAAAUAGUGCUCAAUCGAAAACCAGAAGAAUGGCUGUUCCAUCAACGCCCGAAGGGCAUCAUUGAACAAUAAGUGUGGCCCAGAAGCCAUGUCUUUUCCUCUUUCAGUAGGGAGGGGCAGUUCUGAGGUGCAGGGUGCCAACAUGGGCGGCAGCUCUGCAGGACUGGAGCAGUGAGGAGUCGUGCAAGAAUCCGUUGGCACUGAGGCCUGAAGCGAGCAAGGCUGCGAGGAACCUGCGCCAGCCAGUUCGAUCUCCCGAGCGCAGUGGCAGGGGGGCGCCGGGGCCUCGCGCCCGUGUGAGCUGCCCGCUGGCCCGGCUGCCCGCUGGCCCCUUCCACUCAACCGGCUGGAGCCGCGACGCCGCAGGGAAACCGGACACGCUCUCGGGGCCGCCUUUAAUGCCUCUCGGUUCGCUCAUCAGAGCGCACGGGGAAGUCCCUCAGCACGAACCCGAAAACGUGGAAGUGCAGAGAUGAGAAAGCGCUGGCAUCUGCACCAGUUCGCACGGGCACAGGCCCCGCGGGUGCCGAGUCGGAGGGAUUGUCCCCUUUCUGAGCGCUGCUGCUGACGCCGCCCUGUGCCGAGGGGGGGACGGAGGACAGACAGAAGAGCUCAGGGCCUCCUCUGGCCUGCUGGGCUUGUGGCGGGCCGGACCGCCGUGCGCCGGCCCCUCCUGCGGUAUCGGAGGCUGAUCUGGUCUCCCUGGGCUCGUGAGGAAGGCCCUCUGCUCGUUUCCAGUUGUGAGCCCACUUCGGCUCACUUGUUUUGUUAAGCCUCAGGCUUGGGGCGAGAUUAGAAUAGCCUUAAAAGAUUCGGGAUGCGGGCGGGCGUCCUGGCGCAGUUGUUAGCGUCAGUCCUGGACCCGGGGUGCUUUCUGUGUGGAGCUUGCAUGGUCUCCCCAUGUGCGUGUGGAUGUCCUCCGGGCACUCCGGUUUCCUCCCGCACUCCAGAGACAUGCUGACGCGUCCACGGGAUCACUCGGACAGGGCGAUUUCUGUGAUAGUUUUCCACGCGUGAGGAGGUUGGCGAGAAUCUUGCCGGCGCGUGUUUUAUUGACGCAGCCGGAGCGAGGCUGCAGACUGCGCUACCAGGCGCUGUCUGGAAGAGGAGUUUCUGCUUAAGAAGGGUUUUUUAACGUUUGAGAGAAACAAGUCGUGAGAAGAGAGUGGCGAGGGAACAGGGGCUGUACCAGCCGAGCAAGGGGAAACGCAUCCUGUCGCGCCGACAGGAGGAGGGAGAGCGGAGUGAGGGGGAGAGUUUGAUCAUGCAACCAGCUCAGUAGCGCUGGCUUUUACGGCCUUCUGCUCUGGAGCAACAGACUGGAGUGCGCCAUCUCUUAUAUUAAACUUCACUGUCCCAAAUAGAGAUAUUUCUAAAAACGUAUAUUGCAGCAUUUUCAACAGUUUUUAAAAAAUAAAAUGAUUAACAGGAUAAGGUUCAAUUUAAUUCAGACGUGUACUCCUCUCCGGAUAUGCAGUGUUCCCGUGGGGAGCAUACGAUCGGUUGUAAUAUUUGCAGAUGUUUGCAUCUUUCUGAAAUUUACUUUUAAAGCACAGUUGUUAAAUGUGCCCCGUGAGCGUCAGUUUGUCACGAGUAAGAGACGCGAAGCAAACAUUGGGCUUUUAAUUUGUUGGACAAAUAAAAUGAUUUUAUUUGAAAUGAAGAAAAAAGACACGAAGCCCUGCUCUCCGCCCAGUUUGGGUUUGUGUGUGUUUUCCGUGCCGCGCGCCGGUCGGGGUUCGGCGGCCGAGACGACCGGCGCGUGAUCCGCCGUCUGCAUCCGAGAAGACGCACGAGCGGGCGUUGCUCGACCUGUAAUGCAACUGCAAAAGUCUUUAAAGUCUUUCUUUUGACUUUUGGGAAGUCUUUUUUUGUGAGUGUUGCACCUUUUCUCUCGAAACAAGAGUGAAUCAUAUACUGCCAAAGGGUGUUACAUGAAACGGCACGAUUAGCAAGAGAGAAAAAAACUGCAGCGAAUAUCGGUGAAUUAGGCACCUGACGUUAAUCAAUUUCAAUCUUCAGUGAUUCACCCUCUGUUGUACCUGAAUCAUCGUCGGUCUUGACUUUUCAUGCCUGCUGAUCUGGAGUUAAGUCCCCUAGCCGUCCUCUCCCGCCAAGCGUCCUGCUCUGUCAGACGCGCCCUCCCGAGGGAACCGGGGUACCCCGGCGGGAGCCCCACAGCCGCCCCUCGAGCUCGGCGGCCCCGUGGGGGGCUCCCAUGCGCGUGCCCCGAUGCCGCACCCCCCUCGCGCUCCAUCGUUCAGGAGAGGCAGGAGGCCGAGGUGGCCAUCCCGCUCUCUCACCCCCCUCCCGCCCAGAGACACCCCACAGCCCCCCCACAGCAGCUAAAGGGAGCGCUAUCGCACGCGGGGCCUCGACAGCGAACUGCAGCAGGGCUCGAGUGGCGCCGCGGCGCGAGACGCGGACAGGCCGGUGGGCCUGGCACGCGGUGCAGGGCCUGACGCAGGCGGUCGGGCCGGUGGGGGGGCAGCUGUGUGGACCGGCAGGGCCGCCCGACACCGCCUGGCACCGGCCCCCGCAUGAGCGCGGAGUCCCUUUCUGAUCCGGUACAAUUCUGUCCGGUACACCCAGUCAUCUGAGACCGGGGGUAAGGGCGAGACGGUUAUAAAUAGUUGGUUUUGUGUUUUUUUCUUCUACUGUUUUUACAAAGCCUUCCGUUUGUUUUGACUAACUGAUACCAAAGAUACCACAGUUUCUUUUUUUGGUGUGUACCUUCGAAAGGCCACACUGUAUCUUACUGUACUACAAGAGCUGGUGAUUUCACCGGGAAAAGUCCCCAGCGCUGCAUCACGGACUCCGAAAAGGUUAGUGCGGUAGAGCACCGCCGUGCGGCCCCGGCGCUGGCCGGCGGCGCCUCCGUGUCGAAGCGUGUCUAGUUCACCCCGAGCAACUGCUUUUCAAACCGCUCUCCCCACCUCGGGCCUCGCCAAGAGUCUUGUCGCGCUGGCGUUAAUGAACCGGUUCGUGUAGAACAGACUGGCUAUACAGGGUCAUCGCUGUAAAAUAAAGAUUAAAACUCUUGUUGCGAUUUCUGUACAGCUCGGCUUCAGAGCUGAAAACCGGCCAGGGAAUUCGCUUUGAAGAGUCUAGUGUGGGCACGUCGCACAUGUACUGUAGGUAUCUGCUUAUAUACAGCAGAUAUGAAUCUGUAUUUCUGUGUCUGCAAGUGUGUGUGUGUGUGCUGAGACAGCAUGAACAGUGGACAUGUGCACUUACACAUGAACACAAGUAAAAUUCUCCUUUUCCUGUUUUCUGUUUCACCGAAACGACCUGUAUGUCUUUAUUUAGAAGUGACUAACGGUUGUCUAUGCAUUCACUUAAAGGUAAUUACUGUAAGUCAAGUAUCAAGCCUCGUGGGUCAAUGGCAUCGCCACAGAAUAAUUUGUAAUAACAUGAAAAACUAGGUCCGUUUGUGUGAUGGUUGGAGCUGUGUCAGUAACGCGACUGGUUCUGGUGGUUAUCCUAAUUCCAUUGCAGCUACUACUGGAUCACAAUGACGUGCCAAGACGUCCAUUUCUACUCGAAUGAAAAUGUGACUUAGUUCCUGCUCGAUGAGGUGGGUAGUUCUCAGAGUCUGAUCUACAGCAAGUGUGAAGCCAGUAAGGGCUGAACGCAGCAGAACGAUCGCUUCUUCAAAAUGGAGCUUUUCCAGAUGGUGGCCAAUCUGUUUUUCAGAGGGGGUUACUUGUAGAUAUAGUACAAUUUCUCCUUAUCCCUAAAUAUUUAACCAGGGAUUUCCCCAAAGCCCAAUAUUUCAACACAUGCUUGAAAUGCCCGUCUAGAUCUUUAGGGUUUUUGUGACACACCCUGCUGUAGAUCAGAUACGAACCUCUCACCGCGUAAAAUAGCCACAAUGGAGUAAAAAGCCCAGAGACUCGAAAUGUCGAUGACAAAGACUGAAAAAAGAUCUUGUGUGUGAUGAACUACUGUCAGAAAGUCCUCAGCUCACAAGCUGACAUUUCCUAACUGGGAGAAAGCUGGGUGAACUAACGCAUCGCCAGUGAUGUGAGGCGCAGGGCCCUGCACGCUCACCCCAAACUCUCCGCAGACUGGUGUCCUACUGGACACAGCCCGGGACAGAGACGGAGACCCAGUCCGGUACUUCAAGAUCACGCCAUACAGUGCAGGUGUGCCACAGGGACGAGCGAGUAGAGUCCUGCGCUGCAUCUUUGUCUUCAUGCAGGCGUGCGGGGGGGCGAGUGCACCCCUCCCUGUCCCUCCUCAGCUGUGAAGGCUGUGUGCUUCUCUUCGCUAGGGCUUGCACUGCGCCUGUGGAGGCGGGAGAUCGUCCCUGCUCCUGGCCAAGCGAUCGACCUGCGCAGACUGACCGGCCCUCUCUCCUUUCUAACCCGCUGUCCCGCAAGGCGAGUCGGCUCUGCUGAGCACCUGACGCGGCCGUGUGAUCGGGGUCACGCAGGGCUGGCAGAACCAGGCCCGGCUGCGGCGCGCGAGGGCCUGCGGUCAGUCGCCGGGGGGCUGUGGUGGGAGAUCUCUACAGCCAGCUUUCACGGCUCGCCGCAGGUCCCUUCCUCCGGCUAGCGGGCUCUCCAGAACCGGGCCGCCGCCUGUGUCUCGCUGCGCCGCGGUGACGAGAGCCUCUGAUUCCUGCGAACACGAGCGCGGCUGUUCUUGUCAUUUCACGCUAAUAAAACGCACACGGAGGAAAAAAAAAUUGGUGUUUAUCAGGUUUUUUGAAAAAGGAAAUCAAGAAGCUUAACCCAAACACUUCCUGGAGCGAGGCAAAGGGGCGCUUUUUUGAAAAUGUUUUUCUUCACACAACGGUAGCAGAUUGACCUUUGUCAACCACAAAAAGAACAGAUUGGAGUGUUUUUUGCUAAAAAUAAUGCUCGAAGCUGACAUGCCAUGUACCAAGAAAGACACAGGCGGUGUCCUAGCCCGAGCACACCCGCGUCAUCUCGCGCGGCCGCGGACUUUCCCGCGCGUAAUGGUUUUUUUCAGAUUCCCCAUGCGGGGCGGAUGGCGUCCGGGCCCCGGGGGGCACCAUGGCUGCCGCCACGCGCUCCGCGCCGGCAGAGGUUCCGGAAGUCGCCGCACGCGAUUCCGUCUCCCGCCCCGCUGUGCCCUGGGCGCCCUCCUCGCCGCAG